rnacentral:rRNA from 1 species
GAUGAACGCUGGCGGCGUGCCUAAUACAUGCAAGUCGAGCGAACAGAUGAGGAGCUUGCUCCUCUGACGUUAGCGGCGGACGGGUGAGUGACACGUGGAUAACCUACCUAUAAGACUGGGAUAACUUCGGGAAACCGGAGCUAAUACCGGAUAAUAUAUUGAACCGCAUGGUUCAAUAGUGAAAGACGGUUUUGCUGUCACUUAUAGAUGGAUCCGCGCCGCAUUAGCUAGUUGGUAAGGUAACGGCUUACCAAGGCAACGAUGCGUAGCCGACCUGAGAGGGUGAUCGGCCACACUGGAACUGAGACAUGGUCCAGACUCCUACGGGAGGCAGCAGUAGGGAAUCUUCCGCAAUGGGCGAAAGCCUGACGGAGCAACGCCGCGUGAGUGAUGAAGGUCUUCGGAUCGUAAAACUCUGUUAUUAGGGAAGAACAAAUGUGUAAGUAACUAUGCACGUCUUGACGGUACCUAAUCAGAAAGCCACGGCUAACUACGUG